rnacentral:rRNA from 1 species
UGGCACAGUCAGAUGCUUACACAUGCAGUCGAUUCAAGUUACCUUCGGGUAACGAGGAUGGCGGACGGGUGAGUAACGCGUAAGGAACUUGCCUCUUGGUCUGGGACAACUGUUGGAAACGACAGCUAAUACCGGAUAUUAUGAGAUUCUCGCAUGGGAAACUUAUGAAAGCUAUAUGCGCCAAGAGAGAGCCUUGCGUUCCAUUAGCUAGUUGGUGGGGUAACGGCCCACCAAGGCGACGAUGGAUAGCCGGCCUGAGAGGGUGAACGGCCACAAGGGGACUGAGACACGGCCCUUACUCCUACGGGAGGCAGCAGUGGGGAAUAUUGGACAAUGGGCCACAAGCCUGAUCCAGCAAUUCUGUGUGCACGAUGAAGGUCUUCGGAUUGUAAAGUGCUUUCAGUUGGGAAGAAGAAAGUGACGGUACCAACAGAAGAAGCGACGGCUAAAUACGUGCCAGCAGCCGCGGUAAUACGUAUGUCGCAAGCGUUAUCCGGAUUUAUUGGGCGUAAAGCGCGUCUAGGCGGAAAAAUAAGUCUGAUGUUAAAAUGCGGGGCUCAACUCCGUAUUGCGUUGGAAACUGUUUUUCUAGAGUACUGGAGAGGUGGGCGGAACUACAAGUGUAGAGGUGAAAUUCGUAGAUAUUUGUAGGAAUGCCGAUGGAGAAGUCAGCUCACUGGACAGAUACUGACGCUGAAGCGCGAAAGCGUGGGGAGCAAACAGGAUUAGACACCCUGGUAGUCCACGCCGUAAACGAUGAUCACUAGGUGUUGGGGGUCGAACCUCAGCGCCCAAGCUAACGCGAUAAGUGAUCCGCCUGGGGAGUACGCACGCAAGUGUGAAACUCAAAGGAAUUGACGGGGACCCGCACAAGCGGUGGAGCAUGUGGUUUAAUUCUACGCACCGCGAGAAACCUUACCAGCGUUUGACAUCCUAACAAGUUUCUAUAGAUAGAUUCUGGCCGGCUUGCCGGAACUUAGUGACGGGGGGGGCUUGGUUGGCGUCGCGUCGUGUCGUA